GAUGAAGAACGCAGCGAAAUGCGAUAAGUAAUGUGAAUUGCAGAAUUCAGUGAAUCAUCGAAUCUUUGAACGCACAUUGCGCCCCCUGGUAUUCCGGGGGGCAUGCCUGUUCGAGCGUCAUUUCACCACUCAAGCCUCGCUUGGUAUUGGGCAACGCGGUCCGCCGCGUGCCUCAAAUCGACCGGCUGGGUCUUCUGUCCCCUAAGCGUUGUGGAAACUAUUCGCUAAAGGGUGUUCGGGAGGCUACGCCGUAAAACAGCCCCAUUUCUAAGGUUGACCUCGGAUCAGGUAGGGAUACCCGCUGAACUUAAGCAUAUCAAUAAGCGGAGGA
rnacentral:misc_RNA from 1 species